UGUGGCUUAGUGGUAGAGUGCUUGCCUAGCAUGUAUGAGGCACUGGGUUCGAGUCUCAGCA
rnacentral:tRNA from 1 species